GCUAUGCAGGGGUGUCCUGGGAAGGGCUGAAUGAAGGGCAUAGCUCAGGGUCAUCACCACAGGCAAGGAGAGACCAACAGGGAGUAACAUUUCCCAUUCCAAGCCAGCUUCUUGUCCUGGCUCUCACCCAAAGCUCCCAAGGCCACAAGAUGAUCCCCGUAAGAAAAAGCCGAGAAGGAGAGCCUGCCUUCUCUGCCGCCGCCUCCUUGGGGGUCCUCCUCCGCCCCCUCCUCCCCACCCAGGCCCUCCGUUGUGGAGAAGAAGCCGCGUUCGGUGUCCCUCGCGGGCCCCAGGCGCAGCCAUGGCAGACGGCGGCUUCGGCCGGGGCAGCAACUGGCACGAGUGGGGCCGGCGGGAGCGGCGGCCCCAUCAACCCAGCCUCACUGUCUCCUGGCGACCCGCAGCUCAUCGCUCUCAUCGUGGAGCAGCUCAAGAGCUAGGGCCUGUUUGACAGCUUCCGCUGGGACUGCCUGGCCGACGUGGACACCAAGCCAGCUUACCAAAACCUGAGGCAGAAAGUGGAUAAUUUUGUGUCAACACAUCUGGACAAGCAGAAAUGGAAUCCUACAAUGAACAAAAACCAGUUACGAAAUGGUCUGAGGCAGAGUGUGGUUCAGUCAGGCAUGUUGGAAGCUAGAGUAGACAGGAUUAUUUCUCAGGUGGUGGAUCCAAAACUAAACCACAUCUUCAGGCCGCAAAUAGAACAAGCAAUUCAUGAGUUCCUGGCGGCCCAGAAAAAAGCAGCUGUGUCAGCACCCCCUCCAGAGCCUGAAGGCCAAGACCCUGCAGCUCCGUCCCAGGACACUUCCUAAGAAUAUGCCUGACACGUUUUGAAAGUGCCAUUUAAUCAAUGGUGAUGAAGUGGAUUCAUAUACAUAAGAGUACAGCUGCAGAAUGAACAUAGGUCCAAGGUCAUCAAUGAUGUCAAGAUUUCGGCCUUGACUGCGGGCAGUGUCCAGACUGACUGAGCAAGGGAAAAAGACUGACUGGCAUAGGGAAAGUUGACUGUGUUGCCCUCUCACUGUGCUGCCAUUUGACCAGCCUCUCUAAGGGUGUGAUACCAGUAGACACUACAGAGAGAAACACUACAGCAACCUCUGAGGUUGUCCUGAAACAGACUUUUACAUUUGAACAUGGAGACUGUGCAUGGACUUUAGGGUUUGUGCUCUGGG